UUUGAUCGAACCGAGCCACAGCGGGGCGCCGGGCUCGCGCUCGCGUCCGUAGGCGGCCAGCAGGGCCUGCGCCUC
rnacentral:antisense_RNA from 1 species